AGCAGCCGCGGUAAUUCCAGCUCCAAUAGCGUAUAUUAAAGUUGUUGCAGUUAAAAAGCUCGUAGUUGAAUUUCGGAAUCAAUUUGUUGGUCGUGCCUCGGUACGUACUGGUAUUAUUGGUUUCUACCUUCUGAAGAAUCUUGAUGUCAUUAAUUUGGUGUCUUGGGGAAUCAGGACUGUUACUUUGAAAAAAUUAGAGUGUUUAAAGCAAGCAUACGCUUGAAUACAUUAGCAUGGAAUAAUGAAAUAGGACGUUUGAUUCUAUUUUGUUGGUUUCUAGGAUCGACGUAAUGAUUAAUAGGGAUAGUUGGGGGCAUUAGUAUUCAAUUGUCAGAGGUGAAAUUCUUGGAUUUAUUGAAGACUAACUACUGCGAAAGCAUUUGCCAAGGAUGUUUUCAUUAAUCAAGAACGAAAGUUAGGGGAUCGAAGACGAUCAGAUACCGUCGUAGUCUUAACCAUAAACUAUGCCGACUAGGGAUCGGAUGAUGUUAAUUUUUAAUGACUCAUUCGGCGCCUUACG
rnacentral:rRNA from 1 species